GGAAGCAGGCUGAUCUGGCUGUCAAUGUCACCUACGGCACCUAUGGCCAGAGUUGAUACAGCUGCUCUGGCUGGCUAGGUGGGCAUUCUCUUCUUCCCUCAUCACACCACGAUUCUCACUGCUGAAGCUUCGUCCUCGCAGAAGAUGACGGUUUCCAGUAGUGAAACCGUUCUCUAGUCUAGUCUCUUGCUAGAACUUCCAAAGUAGUUCUUAGGAGCUAGCUAGGAUAUGCCAAACCCAGCAGCGCUGGUCAUGUAAACACACAGACAAAGCUAAGUAGUGUCCUAACACUACUAUCACAUGCCGGCAAAAUAUCAGGGGCUUCUCUCU
rnacentral:snRNA from 1 species